UACGUAGGGUGCGAGCGUUAAUCGGAAUUACUGGGCGUAAAGCGUGCGCAGGCGGUUUUGUAAGCCAGAUGUGAAAUCCCCGGGCUUAACCUGGGAAUGGCAUUUGGGACUGCAAGGCUCGAGUGCGGCAGAGGAGACUGGAAUUCCUGGUGUAGCGGUGAAAUGCGCAGAUAUCAGGAGGAACACCGAUGGCGAAGGCAGGUCUCUGGGCCACUACUGACGCUGAGACGCGAAAGCGUGGGGAGCGAACAGG
rnacentral:rRNA from 1 species